rnacentral:lncRNA from 1 species
GCAAUUAUCAAACCGUAUGUAUACACGAUAUAUCACAUACUAAUUGCUAGGUAUCAUUUACAUAAUUUUGGAUUAGAAUAUCCACUCAUGGAUAUUAUUACAUAAUUGCUAAAUUAUACAUUAUUUACAUCCAUAAGAACAUCAUACUAUUAAAUGCUAACAUAUUGGCAAAAACUGUUGCACUAUUCGUGUCAAUCUUUGACCAAAAACACCACCUGCAAAAUCGUGAAGUAAUGAUUAAAUGUUUAAGUGUCCAUAUGUUAGACUGAGCGCAAACUUGUCUCACUGAUAUAGUUCUUGUGAAUUACAUAAUAAUAAAAAUAUUAGAUGUCUUAAAUUGGACAAUUUAAAUUAUAUAUAAAGGAUUAGCUGUUGCAGAUUUUAUUUGUAAUUUACAUACCUUUUCAAACAUUGUCUAUCUUUGUGCAUAUGGUUAAUUGUGCCUGAACUUUAAUCAACUAACAUCAAACAGUAUAAUAAUAAUGACUCUGUGAAAGAAGCAGAAAGACCAAUAGCCGUUGAAGUUAGCAGUAAGAUUGUUUUCAAUCAUCAUCAAAGACUCAGAGUAAUGACUGAAGAACAAAGAAGAGGACUUAGAAAUUUUCAAGGUAGAAGAAAGAAAGGGACCAAAUGCUGGAUUGCGUAUGGGUGUUCGUAACACGCAGCGGAAGACAAUAACAAUCCUAGGUAGAUUUUCNAAGGGUGUUCGUAACACGCAGCGGAAGAAAAUAACAAUCCUAGGUAGAUUUUCUCAUGUUUAAAAUUUAUUUACGUGUCAAAAAUAGGAUUUAAGACGUACCUGGUGAAGAGAGUUUCUUUUCCAAAAUUUAUUCGAUAGUGCGAAGACUCUAUGCGUAUCCACACCGAGACCGAUCCUUGCUAUCAACUCUUUGAUAAAUGAAACCCGCGAAAAAUUGAAUGGAAAUAUUAUGCUAAAGAUUUUCUCAAAAACUGUAGCUAAAACGUGAAAGACCAAGAAAACUAAUUUUCUUGUCAAGAAUAAUUUUUUCUUUCUUUGUAUCUCACGUUUUUUUUUCUUCUUUCUAUAUCUCUAUCUCAAUUUUUUCUUACAAAUUCUUCUUAAUGAUAUGUGUAUAUAUAUACACAUAUUGAGUCAAAAAAAGAAGGAAAGUAGUUGGAGACUCUACCAACUUAAAUACAAUUCUAUUUAGAAUUGUAUAGCCAAC